rnacentral:rRNA from 1 species
CCUUGUACACACCGCCCGUCACGUCAUGGGAGUCGGUUCUACCUUAAGACGGUGCGCCAACCGCAAGGAGGCAGCCGGCCACGGUAGGAUCGGCGACUGGGACG